UGGUAUCUUAGGCAUAAAGGAACAACACUAAUUAACAUAUCGAACUUGGUGGUUAAACUUUAUUGCGAUGACGAUACUGUAGGAGGAGUCCUACGGGAAAAUAGCUCGAUGCCAUAAU
rnacentral:rRNA from 1 species